rnacentral:lncRNA from 1 species
GGACAAAAACGACGCUUUAACCCCACAGCCUGUUUCCGCCAUAGCACCUCCUCCACCGCCGCCGCCUUCCUCCGACGGUGCCACCAUCGAGGUUGUCCGCCGUCCACGUGGCCGUCCUCCUGGUUCCAAAAACCGACCUAAACCGCCUGUUAUCAUUACACGUGAUGCUGAACCAUCUAUGAGCCCUUAUAUUCUUGAAAUUCCAAUUGGUGUUGACAUAAUCAACUCUAUCACCAAAUUUUGCAGAACACGGAAUAUGGGCCUUUGCGUUCUCAACGGUUCAGGUACUUAUUUAAUAUAACUAGUCACUUAAGUACCUACUUUACUUUCAAUUUGGCCAAAACAAAUCCCUUGAAUAUGGGUUUCUGUUCAGGUACUUAUUUAAUAUAAUUAGUCACUUAGUACGCACUUUACUUUCAGCAAAAAAUCCCUUGAAUAUGGCGUCUUUGUAUUUUCAAUGGCUCAGGUACUGUUACAAAUGUUACUCUAAGGCAGCCUUCAACAACGCCAGUUUCAACAGUUACUUUUCAUGGUAGAUUUGAUAUACUCUCAAUUUCAGCUACAAUUGUUCAACCAAAUGCGAGUGUUCCAUCAAAUAACAAUGGGAUAGCAAAUGGGUUCACAAUUUCAUUGGCGGGUCCACAAGGUCAAGUGGUGGGUGGGGGUGUAGUUGGGCCACUUGUAACUGCAGGAACUGUGUACUUAGUAGCUGCAACUUUUAACAGCCCAUCUUUUCAUAAGUUACCUGUUGAGGAGGAAUUAGGUAGGAAUUCUGGUGGUGGUGGAGGAAAUGAGGGUAGUGGCCGUCAGUCGCCGCCGCCGCAUACGGUGGUUUCCGGCGGAGAAGAUAGUGGACAUCCACCGACUACGACGGCGCCGGAAUCUUGUGGGAUGUCUAUGUAUAGUUGUCAUUUGCCGUCGGAUGUGAUAUGGGCACCUACGGCUAGACAACCACCACCUCCUCCACCACCUUACUGAAGAUACGUUUUGUUCAUGUUCUUGGAAUGUGUGGUAUCUUUUGUCAUAUUUGUUUCACUAACGCUACUUUUUGAUUUUGGAUUUUCUUGUUUUUGGUUUUGCUUAGUUUAUUUAGUUGACUUUAGAUUUUGUACUUUUAUCUUAAUUAAAAAUGUACUGCCUUAGCACUUUUUUGUUGUUU